UACGUAGGGGCAAGCGUUGUCCGGAUUUAUUGGGCGUAAAGAGCGUGUAGGCGGUCUGGUAGGUCCGUUGUGAAAACUCGAGGCUCAACCUCGAGACGUCGGCGGAAACCAUCUGGCUAGAGUCCGGAAGAGGAGAGUGGAAUUCCUGGUGUAGCGGUGAAAUGCGCAGAUAUCAGGAAGAACACCCGUGGCGAAGGCGGCUCUCUGGGACGGUACUGACGCUGAGACGCGAAAGCGUGGGGAGGCGAACAGG
rnacentral:rRNA from 1 species